CCGGCUAAUUUUUUGUAUUUUUUAGUAGAGACGGAGUUUCACCAUGUUAGCCAGGAUGAUAUCGAUCUCCUGACCUUGUGAUUCGCCCGCCUCAGCCUCCCAAAGUGCUGGGAUUACAGGCAUGAGCCACCGCACCCAGCCGAUCUUUGUUUCAUUAAGUAAUGUUUCUCUUUGUCUCUAGCAAUUAAAGUCUACUUUAUCUGAUAUUAUUAUGGCCACUCCUACUUUUGCAAAUGCAAAUGUGCUUUGAGUAUCUUUUCCCAUCCUUUUAUUUUCAGCCUACUUACAUGUAUCAUUGUAUUUGCAGUGUAUAGUAUUUGUAGAUAGCAUGUAGUUGGAUCAUGUAUUUUUUAAUUGGUUCUGCCAAUCUGUUUUCAUUACUGAGUUUAGACCAUUUACGCUUAGAGAAGUAAUUACUGGUAUGUUAGAGCUUAAAUCUGCCAUUUUAUUUGUUUUCUGUUAUUUCCCCUGUUUCUCAUUCCUCUAUUUCCCUUUUCUUGCCUUCCUGUGGGCUACUUGAACAUUGUUAGAAGUUUAUCUUGAUUUAUUUAUAAUGUUUUGAAUAUAUCACUUCGUAUAGUUUUCUUAAUAGUUGCUCUAGGAAUUACAAAAUAUAUAUAUAGUUUACCACAACCUACUGGUAUUAAUAUUUUACCACUUUGAAUAAAGUGUAGAAGCCUUAUUUCCAUUUAUGUCCCUUUGCACUUCCCACUUCUAAAAUGUAAUUGUUUUAGAAGAGGGAAAAAAUAGAUACUGAGGCCUACUUGAGGGUGGAGAAUGAGAGGAAGGUUAGGGUCAAAAAACUACCUAUCAUGUACUAUGCUCUCUACCUGGGUAACAAAAUUAUUUGCACACCAAACCCCAUCAAUGCACAAUUUGCACAUGUAACAAACCUACACAUAUGCCCCCAAACCUAAAAUACAAUUUGAAAGGGAAAAAUAAAAUAUAAUUGUCUUAAAUAUUUCCUUUACAUGUAUUCACCACCACAUCAGAUGCUCUUAUACUUUUUGCUUCAACCAUCAAAUAUGAUUUAAGAAACUCAAGAAAAAUAGAAUAGUCUAUUAUAUUUAUCCCUAUUUUUAUCCAUUCUUAUGGGUUUUUUUUCCCUUCUGAAGUUCUAAGCCUACUUCUGUUAUCAUUUCCUUUCUGCGUAGAUAACUUCUUUUAGCCAUUCCUUAAGAUAGGUUUGUUAGCAACACAUUUUUAGUUUUCCUUCAUCUCAGAAUGUCUCUAUUUCUUCUUCAUUGAUGAAAGAUAUUUUCAUUAGGUAUAGAAUUCACAGUUGACAAUUUGUUUCUUAAAAGAAAAUGCUAAAGCACUUAAAAAAUGCUGCACCUCUUCCUUCGGGCCUCCAUCGUUUCAAAUUCACAUUCAAAUUGGUGUUCUCCUGUAAAUAAUGUUUCUUUUAUCUCUGACUGCUUUCAAGAAUUUUUGUCUUUGUCAUUAGUUUUCAGAAGUUUAACUAUAAUGUGUCAUAGAUAGAUAGAUGAUAGAUAGAUAGAUACAUAGAUAGAUAGAUAGAUAGAUAGAUAGAUAGAUAGAUAGAUAGAUAGAUGAUAGAUAACGUGGAGACAGAGCAUGAACUAGGUACAGUCUCAGUCCUUCAUAUAUUUUCAUUCUACUGAGCUUCUUGGCAGCAGACACUAUGUUUUACUCACUGUUUUAUCAGUGUACUCACUGUCAGGAACCAGCAGAGUCUGGCAUAGAGUGGGCACUCAAUAAAUGUUGGCUGACUGAAUGAGAAGGUAGAAACAAAUAAGUAGAAGAAAGAGAGAAAGAGGAAGAGGAGGGCGAGAGAGAUAAUGAGCCCAAGACAGAGAAGAGAAAGACAAGGAGAAAUGUAUUGAGCCCUUGAAGAAACCAAGUGUUCUACAUGGGACUGGGGGUGGUAUGCCUAGGGGAAGGAGGGUCACAGUGUCUAUAAAGGAGAUAGAUGUAAAAGUCAGUCCUAUGGCCCUAAUAAAAACUACACAAUUACUCAUCGAAGUUUGUUGAACAGAAAUCAGUACGAUCACAGCUACCAUGGACAAAGCUUGAUAUAUUUUGGUUUAGUUUAAAUGAGGGGUAUUGGUUUCAAAGAGAUAUUAAAUUUCGACUCUAAGGGGCUGAAGUCUCGUGUGCCUGUGCGUCUGGUGAGGCUUAGCGGUCACCACUCCCCACUCACCCGCUGCCCACCCCACCUCCGAGGGUGACGCCCCUUGAGGACGUCAGCUCUCCAGCCUAGAAGGCAGCAUUGUGAGGGGCGUGGCCUAGAGGACGUUCUACUCUGGCCACCACGAUCUUGGCAGCCCACACCUGAUCAGGACCUAAAGCGUGAAGGGUGUGAAUGAGGAGAAACGAGGACCGCCUGCUACCCCAGCGUCUGGCCCCCUGGGGACUGAAGGCUGGCUCUGGAGCUGUACCUCGGCAACUGCUAUAAGGCUGCCGAAGCCGCCGCCACUAAGGCGGCCGCCAGCAGCCUGAAUGCAGGCAAGAAGCAGUGCCGCACCGUUAUAUGUCCCUUGAAGGAGUUGAGUAAAUACAGGCAGUAUGUGACUAGUUUAAAAUUAGACUUUGAAAGAAACUGUAUAAGAGAACAAGGUUUCACUCCAAUCACCCAGGCUGGAGUGCAGUGGGAUGCUCUCAGUUCACUGCAGCAUCAACUUCCCGAGCUCAGGUGAUCCUCCAGCCUCAACUUCCCAGUAGCUGGGACUAUAGUCACAUGCCACCAUACCUGGCUAAUUUUUGGUAUUUUUAGUAGAGACAGGUCUCACCAUGUUGCCCAGGCUGGUCCCAAACUCCUCGGCUCAAGUGAUCCCCCAACCUCAGCCUCCAAAAAUGCUAGGAUUACAGGCAUGGGACACAGUGCCCAGCCAAUAUUUGCACUUUUAUGUAGAUAUUGAUAUAUGAUUAUAUGAAAUUGGACACAGCAGGAAAGCAGAGUGUACUCAAGAUGAAAGAAAAAAAAAGACGAUAUGAAGACUGUUGCGGGAAGUCAGGGACCCCGAACAGAGGGACCAGCUGGAGCCGUGGCAGAGGAACAUGAAUUGUGAACAUUUCAUGGACAUUUAUCAGUUCCCAAAUAAUACUUUUAUAAUUUCUUAUGCCUGUCUUUACUUUAAUCUUUAAUCCUGUUCUCUUCAUAAAUUGAGAAUGUACAUCACCUCAGGACCACUGUGAUAAUUGUGUUAACUGUACAAAUUGAUUGUAAAAUCUGUGUUUGAACAAUAUGAAAUCAGUGCACCUUGAAAAAGAACAGAAUUAGGGAAAAAGGGAAGACAACCAUAAGGUCUGACUGCCUGUGGGGUUGGGCAAAAAGAGCCAUAUUUUUCUUCUUGCAGAGAGCCUAUAAACAGACAUGCAAGUAGGAGAGAUAUCGCUAAAUUCUUUUCCUAGCAAGGAAUAUUAAUAUUAAUACCCUGGGAAAGGAAUGCAUUCCUGGGGGGAGGUCUAUAAACGGCUGCUCUGGGAGGGUCUGUCUUAUGCAGUUGAGAUAAGGACUGAGAUACACCCUGGUCUCCUGCAGUACCCUCAGGCUUAUUAGGGUGGGGAAAAACUCUGCCCUGGUAAAUUUGUGGUCAGACAAGUUCUCUGCUCUCCAUCCCUGUUUUCUGUUGUUUAAGAUGUUUAUCAAGACAAUAUGUGCACCGGUGAACAUAGACCCUUAUCAGUAGUUCCGCUUUUGCCUUUUGCCUUUUGCCUUGUUAUCUUUGUUGGACCCUUAUCAGUAGUUCUCCUUUUUGCCCUUUGAAGCAUGUGAUCUACCCCCUAUUCUUAUACCCGCUCCCCUUUUGAAGCCCUUAAUAAAAGACUUGCUGGUUUGAGGCUCAGGUGGGCAUCACAGUCCUACCAAUAUGUGAUGUCACCCCUGGCAGCCCAGCUGUAAAAUUCCUCUCUUUGUACUCUUUCUCUUUAUUUCUCAGCCGGCCAACACUUAUGGAAAAUAGAAAGAACCUAUGUUGAAAUAUUGGGGGCAGGUUCCCCCAAUACAGGACCACAUAAGAAGAAAUCUUGAUCUCUGUAGACAAAUUGAAGAGGUGAGUAACACUGGAUUUUAAAUAUUAAGG
rnacentral:lncRNA from 10 species